rnacentral:rRNA from 1 species
CCUACGGGAGGCAGCAGUGGGGAAUAUUGGACAAUGGGGGGAACCCUGAUCCAGCGACGCCGCGUGAGUGAAGAAGUACUUCGGUAUGUAAAGCUCUAUCAGCAGGGAAGAAAAUGACGGUACCUGACUAAUAAGCCCCGGCUAACUACGUGCCAGCAGCCGCGGUAAUACGUAGGGGGCAAGCGUUAUCCGGAUUUACUGGGUGUAAAGGGAGCGUAGGCGGUCAGGCAAGUCUGAUGUGAAAGUUCGGGGCCCAACCCCGGGACUGCAUUGGAAACUGGUGAACUGGAUUACAGGAGGGGGAAGCGGAAUUCCUAGUGUAGCGGUGAAAUGCGUAGAUAUUAGGAGGAACACCAGUGGCGAAGGCGGCUUACUGGACGAUAACUGACGUUGAGGCUCGAAAGCGUGGGGAGCAAACAGGAUUAGAUACCCUUGUAGUC